CAGCAGCCACGGGAAUACGGAGGGCGCGAGCGUUACCCGGAUUUACUGGGCGUAAAGGGCGUGUAGGCGGCCUGGGGCGUCCCAUGUGAAAGGCCACGGCUCAACCGUGGAGGAGCGUGGGAUACGCUCAGGCUAGAGGGUGGGAGAGGGUGGUGGAAUUCCCGGAGUAGCGGUGAAAUGCGCAGAUACCGGGAGGAACGCCGAUGGCGAAGGCAGCCACCUGGUCCACUUCUGACGCUGAGGCGCGAAAGCGUGGGGAGCAAACCGGAUUAGAUACCCCAGUAGUCCCUGUCUCUUAUAA
rnacentral:rRNA from 1 species